CGAAUAUAUACAAUACCCUGACCUCGGAUCANACG
rnacentral:rRNA from 1 species